AUUGAACGCUGGCGGCAUGCCUUACACAUGCAAGUCGAGCGGCAGCGCGGGGGCAACCCUGGCGGCGGGCGGCGAACGGGUGAGUAAUACAUCGGAACGUGUCCAGUAGCGGGGGAUAACCUGUCGAAAGAUAGGCUAAUACCGCAUACGACCUACGGGUGAAAGCGGGGGACCGCAAGGCCUCGCACUGUUGGAGCGGCCGAUGUCGGAUUAGCUAGUUGGCGGGGUAAAAGCCCACCAAGGCGACGAUCCGUAGCUGGUCUGAGAGGAUGAUCAGCCACACUGGAACUGAGACACGGUCCAGACUCCUACGGGAGGCAGCAGUGGGGAAUUUUGGACAAUGGGCGCAAGCCUGAUCCAGCCAUGCCGCGUGAGUGAAGAAGGCCU
rnacentral:rRNA from 1 species